rnacentral:rRNA from 1 species
CCUACGGGAGGCUGCAGUGAGGAAUAUUGGUCAAUGGACGAGAGUCUGAACCAGCCAAGUAGCGUGAAGGAUGACUGCCCUAUGGUUUGUAAACUUCUUUUAUAGGGGAAUAAAACGAGGCACGUGUGCCUUUUUGCAUGUACUCUAUGAAUAAGGAUCGGCUAACUCCGUGCCAGCAGCCGCGGUAAUACGGAGGAUCCGAGCGUUAUCCGGAGUUAUUGGGUUUAAAGGGAGCGUAGAUGGUUUUUUAAGUCAGUUGUGAAAGUUUGCGGCUCAACCGUAAAAUUGCAAUUGAUACUGGCAGACUUGAGUGCAGUUGAGGUAGGCGGAAUGCGUGGUGUAGCGGUGAAAUGCUUAGAUAUCACGAAGAACCCCGAUUGCGAAGGCAGCUUACUAAACUGUAACUGACAUUGAUGCUCGAAAGUGUGGGGAUCAAACAGGAUUAGAUACCCUAGUAGUC